UACGGAGGGUGCAAGCGUUAUCCGGAUUUACUGGGUUUAAAGGGUGCGUAGGUGGACUUGUAAGUCAGCGGUGAAAUCUCCGAGCUUAACUCGGAAACUGCCAUUGAUACUAUAAGUCUUGAGUGUUCUGGAGGUGAGCGGAAUAUGUCAUGUAGCGGUGAAAUGCUUAGAUAUGACAUAGAACACCAAUUGCGAAGGCAGCUUACUACACAGUUAUUGACACUGAGGCACGAAAACGUGGGGAUCAAACAGG
rnacentral:rRNA from 1 species